rnacentral:lncRNA from 1 species
CAAGUCUGGCUUGGAUGCCGCGCUCGCACAACGCACAACGCUUCGCACUUGCCCGCCAGGCUUUCCCAGUUUCCCUUUCCCUCCCGUCGCGCCGCAGAAGCAGGAGACAGGGAGGAGGGUGCACGCGGUCGCCAUUCAUCUAGACUGAACGUCGCCGGUUCUGCGACGACCGCGGGCUGGUUACAGGCGCGUUUUGGUCAUUUAUGGUCGCCCAUUUGCACUGUGAGUUUUACGGUGUUGAGUGGAUACCUUGGGCAAUGUAAGAACGAACAUGGAAAUCUUUUGCUUGUUCAAGAACGCAACACGCGUUCAGAGUUUGGUGUACCUGGUAUGAAACACUGGGCGUUACAUAGCAGUGACAAUUGGCACUCUUUCUUUCUUCGGUAGUUUACCUAGACGAAUACUUAGUUUUCUUCAGAAAGACGCCGUUCUGCUACAUGUGCGACCCUUUGAUGUGGAUGCAGUCGAGAGUACAGUAAAUGAACACGACACUGAUAUUGACAUUGUGCUACCAAAACAUAAUCAAAGUACAGAUGAC